rnacentral:rRNA from 1 species
UUAAGCAUAUUAAUAAGCGGAGGAAAAGAAACCAACAGGGAUAUUCUCAGUAACGGCGAGUGAAGAGAAUACAGCCCAGCGCUGAAUCGUAUUGCUUGCAAGGGUAGUACGAAAUGUAGCGUGAAACUGGCGGCUGUUGAUGUUGUCGAUGCGUGUAAGUCUUCUUGAGCGGGGCUCAGUCCCAGAGAUGGUGCUAGGCCCGUAUCGCGCGUGACAAGUACAACAACGCCCGCUUGUGGAGAGUCAGGUUGUUUGGGAACACAAUCUAAAGCCGGUGGUACACUCCAUCGAAGGCUAAAUAUGGCCACGAGUCCGAUAGCGAACAAGUACCGUGAGGGAAAAUUGAAAAGCACUUUGAAGAGAGAGCGAAAUAGUGCGUGAAACCGCUUAGAGGCAAGCAGAUGGAUUCUCGAAGGUGUGCAUAGGAUUAAUUUCCUAGUUCUCACGCCACCGCUGUUGUUGACGUGCACCAUACGCUGACAUUUGGACGCUUGAGAUUGGGACUUGUGCCUGCUUGAGACGCUCGGUGUUGGACGUAUUGAGUUGAUUCGUGGCAUGCGAUAACAGAGCAGAGCAUUUGUCGUCGCUGUAAAGCGCCGACUGUGGCCGCUUGCUGAUGCAUUGUUGUUGUGCCGAGGCGCAAGCUUCGACAUGCGAUAUGUAUUGCAACUCGGCUAUUAGUACCGGCAAGACGACUUUAAGACUCGGUGGCGAGUAGA